AACGAACGCUGGCGGCAUGCCUAACACAUGCAAGUCGAACGAGACCUUCGGGUCUAGUGGCGCACGGGUGCGUAACGCGUGGGAACCUGCCCUUAGGUUCGGAAUAACUCCCCGAAAGGGGUGCUAAUACCGGAUAAUGUCUUCGGACCAAAGAUUUAUCGCCUUUGGAUGGGCCCGCGUUGGAUUAGCUAGUUGGUAGGGUAAAAGCUUACCAAGGCGACGAUCCAUAGCUGGUCUGAGAGGAUGAUCAGCCACACUGGGACUGAGACACGGCCCAGACUCCUACGGGAGGCAGCAGUGGGGAAUAGUGGACAAUGGGCGAAAGCCUGAUCCAGCAAUGCCGCGUGAGUGAUGAAGGCCUGAGGGUUGUAAAGCUCUUUUACCCGGGAUGAUAAUGACAGUACCGGGAGAAUAAGCUCCGGCUAACUCCGUG
rnacentral:rRNA from 1 species